CACGAGCUAACGGACCGUUUAAAACGAAAUAAAAGAGAAAUGAAACUAAAUAACGGCGAGAUUUACCACAAAGUUCCUGAAAUUAGAGUUUAGGGUUAGAGACUUUAAAAGUUUGAUAUCGUGACUUGUGGUUCGUAACAGUAAAAAACAAUUUAAAAUCUACAAGCUGGACAUAAAUAAGAACGGACAAAUAAACAUUUAAAACAUAAUUUUAAAAUGUGAAAAAUGACAUUGUCAGAGGUGUCUCACACCGACAGGCUAAUAGUCGUUAUGUUGUCACGUUUUCCACUGCGAUGACUUAAAAGAGAUUUGGCGGAAAUGAACUCCUUGGGCAUAUCUCACCUUGAGAGCUCUGCAUUCUUUUCCUGUUUUUAUUUGUCUUGAUUUUAAGGGCUUGAAGAUGAAGUAAAUUUUUUUUUUUUUUUCCCUCAGCUUGGCUUUUUAAUUUUUUUUGUACUAAAGGUCAGAACAGUUUCCCACAAAGUUCUCAAUAAACAGCUUGAAUAAAGGUUCAUGAACUCUGUUAAAAAUAUAUUCUAUCAUUAAAUAAUUUAGAAGAAAGCACAGUUUUACACAUUAAACCAAUUAGUCUGGACAUGAACAUGUCAAAGACAAAAUGACAAAAAUACUGUCAGUGUUUCUGGUAAGUGUGAACAAAAAGCUGCAAAAUGACUGAAACUGCCGUCAUUUCACUCACUUACUUUAUAUGUUUUUUUCUAUUUUGCGUCCCCUAAUCGCUCCUCCAUCUCGACACUUCUGUUACAUUUUUAUUCUGCCCCGGUAUGAAUUAUGGGGGGCAUACAGUCAGUUGCCCAGUUCUGGAUCACUUUUAUGAAAGUCCCGCUAUACAGAGCCAUAAUGCAACUGAAUGUCCUUUAUUAUGUGUUGUUGUAUUGGGUAUUUGGAUGUUAUCUAGCUGAAGAAGUCAGGAUGGUGUAGCCCUUCUACUGAAACUGUGAAACCACAUUAUGUGUGGUGCAAAUUAGGGAUGCACAAUAAUGAUCAGUGGACGAUAAUGGCCUUUGUGAUGUCACGCAGAUAAUUACGCUAAUUAAAAAAUUCGAUGAUAAUAAUAAAGACUCUUCAUCCCAGUUUCACCGUUGAUCUGAGUGCUGUGCGCCUUGUAUUCCUCAACCCCUCCCUUCUGUGACCGUGUUGUCGCGUAUUUGUGUCGUAAAUUUGCUGCGCUGAGUGGUGUGUUUAGAAAACAGAAAAUAGCAUCGUACGUUUGGGCUUUCUUUACCGUGUCUCAGGAAAACAUUUCAUUGGCAGUUUACAAUGCAUGCUCUGCAGAAGUUUCACAGGAGGGAAAAAGGCGACGAGCUUUAACACAACAAAAAGACCCAAGGGCGACAGCAAUUAACAAAAUCAUACAGUUUAUUACACUUGACGACCAGCCUUCUUCAGUCGUUGAAGACAUAGGAUUUUGUCAGCUAAUGCAGUACGUUGAACCCCGCUACGAGAUUCCAAGUCGCCCCUACUUUGCAGACACUUGCCUACCUGCGCUAUACAAUGUGGUGGCCGCACACAGUUACAGUCUGCUGACGAAAGAUUAGUCUGACUGCAACUAUUUCAGCUUCACAACAGACAUUUGGACGUGAGCCAAUUGAGCACAUUAAGUAUGACAGCACAAUGGAUUGACAAAGACUUUAAACUUCAAAAAGCUGUUCUACACGCCCAAGAGCUCCCCGGGUCCCACACGGCACAAGCAACUUGUGAUUCGUUUAAGCACUGGGAUAUUGCAAAAGAUAAGGUACAUGUUGUCCUGUGGGAUAAUGCUAAGAACACGAUAAAAGCAAUGGAUCUGUGUCAACUCUCAAGUCUGGGCUGCAUGGCACACACACAGUGCAACAUGCUAUAAAUGAAGCUGUGCUAAGUCAGAGGAGUGUGGCUGAUUGUAUCUCAAUUGGAUGAAAAAUGUUGGCCACUUUAAACAUUCACAAGUUGCCACUACUGCUCUCUCAACAUUACAAACCCAGCUAGGUGUUAAGCCCACUUGACUACAACAGAAUGUUCCGACAAGGUGGAGUAGCACCUUUUAUAUGCUACAAAGUCUGUUGCAGCAAAAACAAACACUGGCUGUAUAUGGAGUGGUUGGAAAAUUGCCAGCAAUGCUGAAUUCAUACCAGUGGACACUGACUGAAAAUAUGCUGACCAUUCUUGACCCUUGUGAACAACUAACUCGGGACAUUAACAAAGCUUCAGCUUCAAUGGCAGAUGUGAUCCCAGCCAUCCAAGCUUUGAAGAGACUUUUGAACAAGACUUGUUCCUCUGACCAAGGUGUAAAAACUGCAAAGAGCACCUUACUGGAGGCUGCCAGCAGAAGAUUUGGUCACAUUGAUGAAGAGCCCUUGUAUUUAAUUUCCACAUUGUUGGAUCCAAGAUAUAAGAACCACUACUUCACUACUGAAGCUAAAGAAAAUUCAAAGAACAUGCUGUUGGAGGAAUUAAAGAGCCAACAACUGUGAUAUUUCAGAUGUAAGGGUGGUUGAGCCAGAAACAAAGCCUGUUGCAGGUGGAAGCAAUUCUCUCCUUGAGAUGUUUGCUGAAAUAAUAGAGGAAAACACAGAUGGAGUUGGUCAGCCAGAAAAACAAAAACAAAUGGAAGAGCAGUUACAGGCCUACAUCUCUGAAGCCACACUCCCCGUGCUCACUCAAAAAGCCACCAUGACACCGUUGGACUACUGGAAAAAGAACAAGUACCGCUUCCCAAACUUGGCUCAGCUUGCAAGGAAAUACCUGUCUGUACCUUGCACAAGCGUUGACAGUGAACGCUUGUUUUCUGCAGCUGCUAAUGUGAUGGACGAAAAAAGAAACUGGUUAGGAUGUGAGAAGGCAGAGAUGAUUCUGUUUGUGAAGAAAAAUCUUCCACUUAUUUGCCCUGAAUUGAAAAAAGAAUGAACAUAAGGUCAAAACAUUACAACCUGUUGAGUUGUAGCAGAGGAGUAAUGUGGGCACGUAAGUUUUUCUUGCCUUUCAUGAACUGUUUACUUGGAUCUUUUUAUGUUCUGUAACUGAAUGUUGUCAUUCCUGAGGGGAGACACUUAAUGCACUACUUUAUUAUUUAAUUUAUAGUUAAUUAUAGUUUAAUGUAUUUUACGUUUAAGGUUAUAUUUUGAGAAAAAUAUUUUAUUUACUAUUUUUUAUAAAUCAGCAAGACCUUGUUUGGGUUGUGUUACUCCACUUGUUUCAAAGACGUUAUUUUCAUUAGUUACUUCAUCCAAACCAUCAACAUGUCUAUUAGACCCCAUUCCUACCAGGCUGCUCAAGUAAGCCCUACCAUUAUUUAAUGCUUCGAUCUUA